rnacentral:rRNA from 1 species
UACGUAGGGGGCAAGCGUUGUCCGGAUUUACUGGGCGUAAAGAGCGUGUAGGCGGCCACGCAGGUCCGUUGUGAAAACUGGAGGCUCAACCUCCAGCUGUCGACGGAAACCGUAUGGCUAGAGUCCGGAAGAGGCGAGUGGAAUUCCUGGUGUAGCGGUGGAAUGCGCAGAUAUCAGGAGGAACACCAAUAGCGAAGGCAGCUCGCUGGGACGGUACUGACGCUGAGGCGCGAAAGCGUGGGGAGCGAACAGG